AACGAACGCUGGCGGCAGGCUUAACACAUGCAAGUCGAGCGCCCCGCAAGGGGAGCGGCAGACGGGUGAGUAACGCGUGGGAAUCUACCGAGCCCUACGGAAUAGCUCCGGGAAACUGGAAUUAAUACCGUAUACGCCCUUCGGGGGGAAGAUUUAUCGGGGUUUGAUGAGCCCGCGUGGGAUUAGCUAGUUGGUGGGGUAAAGGCCUACCAAGGCGACGAUCCAUAGCUGGUCUGAGAGGAUGAUCAGCCACAUUGGGACUGAGACACGGCCCAAACUCCUACGGGAGGCAGCAGUGGGGAAUAUUGGACAAUGGGCGCAAGCCUGAUCCAGCCAUGCCGCGUGAGUGAUGAAGGCCCUAGGGUUGUAAAGCUCUUUCACCGGUGAAGAUAAUGACGGUAACCGGAGAAGAAGCCCCGGCUAACUUCGUGCCAGCAGCCGCAGUAA
rnacentral:rRNA from 1 species